CUCAGAUAGGCCCCAGACUGGAAAGAUUCAUACAUAUUCAUAGAAAAUUAUUAAAAGAUUCCUCUAAAAGUCUUCAUGAAGUGGGAGAUCCCAGACCUUUUGAUGAUAUUGAAGGAAAUUCUUCUCAUGCAAUUGGGAUCUGCUACAGCUUAUAUUUUUAGAGGUGAUGGACACUGCUGUAUUUGAAUGUCACAGGUCUUAGAGGCUGAAAAAGGCUGUAAUUUCUCUCUUAUAUUAUCAGUUACCUAGGGACUCCAAGAAAAAGUAUUCCUAUUUGCUGUAGUAGGUAUUUUGCAGAGGACAUUCUUAGUGCUGGAGUAUUCUUAGCUCUGAAAGGAGAUGCUUAUUCCUUUGAGUUGAUCUCAUAUUCUGCCCCAGCUAGAUGUGCACUCAUGUCUCUGAAACAGUGCUUCUCCCACAGUGGACAGGGCUGAGGACACUCAGAAUGACUCUCCAGUUUUUGCUUCCAGAGACAAGAGUUGAAUCUGGCUUCUACAAGCAACACAGUAAUUCCAUACAACUAGAAGUGGAAGAAACAAACUCAUACCUUGUUUCAUUGUAUCCAUGGAAAUGGUGUCUGAGGAGUAGAGUCCAUUCUGCUGCUGACUUGCUCCAAAUAACAUAACUAAAAUCUGUACAGGACUUGUAAUGACAACUCAAGGCCAUUAAGAAAGACUCUCUUGCAUUUUACUUUUGCUGACUCAAAUGAACUGUCAUCAGGAGGCACAAGGAAUCACAAACACUCACAAACUCCACGAACAGAGCUGUGCCUGGAUGGGUGUUUGCGUCCACAAGAGCUGUACUGCUGCGGUGGCCUCCGGGAGAGAACUGGUGUGGUGGUUUAGGUUUGUGUGAUCUUCCAUGUGUAAAGUAACUUGUGCACUGGUAAACAAGUAUUAUUCCAGAAAUUAUAAAAGUACUUCAAAGCAAAUGCACACACUGCUACUGCCAACCAGAAAGGCUAGAUAACAGCCUGCUAGAGCUACGUCUUUAUUAUAAAUAUUUGCACCUUCUGGUUCACUGAAUUCACUUGCUAUAUAUGAAAUAUUUAACUGUUAAUCCUCCAUUAUAGAGUUGUCAUUGGCUAUCUGAGCACUGCUUCCAUAACUUGUAUUUGUCUAUGUGGAAAUAAUACCACAAGAAAUAUGGUAGUAGACAUUGUGAGAAAGAACAGAAAAGAACUAAUUAGCCCAUCUUUUUGCUUAAGCAUAUUCAGCAUACCUUUCAAGGGUGUCUGAAUAUUGUAGAAUUAAAAGUUGGAAAUUUUCACUAUAAGCCUACCUGCAAACUAGUCCAUGUAGUCUUCAAGGCACUCAUUGAAUGUGUCUGUCUACUAAUGACUGGUACAGAGAGCCUCAUUAAUAGGUACUCAUGUUGUAAGUAUAUUAGUAUUCAUUAUUUGAA